rnacentral:rRNA from 1 species
AACGAACGCUGGCGGCAGGCCUAACACAUGCAAGUCGAGCGCGCCCUUCGGGGUGAGCGGCGGACGGGGGAGUAACGCGUGGGAACGUGCGCUUUUCUCCGGAAUAUCCCCGGGAAAUAAAUAGAAAUACCGGAUACGAACACUGGGGGGGAGAUUUAUCGGCAAAGUAGCGGCCGGCGUUUUAUGAGGUAGGGGGAGGGGUAACGGGCUACCAAGCCGACUAGCCGUCGCGGGGCUGAGAGGAUGCUCAGCCACACUGGGACUGGGACACGACCCAGACUCCUACGGGAGGCGGCAGUUGGGAAUCUUAGACAAUGGGGGCAAUGCUGCUCCAGCCAUGCCGCGUGAGUGAUGAAGGCCUUAGGGUUGUAAAGCUCUUUCAGCUGGGAAGUUAAUGACGGUACCAGCAGAAGAAGCCCCGGCUAACUCCGUG